UGUGGGGCCAGGAACAAUCUCUCCAUGAUCUUUGCAAAAACUUUCUUCACCAGAGACAAGGAAAACCAAGAUUGUGAAAACAGAAUCUAAGUGGAGUUUCGCUAUUGUUGCCCAGGCUGGAGUUGCAGUGAGCCGAAAACCUGCCAUUGCACUCCAGCCUGCGUGUCACAGCGAGACUCUGAGUCAAAAAACAAAAAUAAAAG
rnacentral:lncRNA from 1 species